rnacentral:lncRNA from 1 species
AACUGAGGCUGGGACUGAACUGCACACCGAGAUGUGUUCAGCCUGGAACCAGCAGACAUAGCCACAACUGCACCCUGGCCUUCAGAGGACCUCAAAACCUCAGGUUCCUCACCUGUAAGAUGGGACCUGGAUCUGUCUUGUCUACUUCCAGUCCUUGGGGUCUGGAGGGCUGCCUGCCUCACCCAGGCACUGGUGAAUGAUACUGAAC